rnacentral:rRNA from 1 species
GACAGAGGUGCCGAGCGUUAGGCGGAAUCACUGGGCUUAAAGCGCGUGUAGGCGGGUCCGUAAGUGCCUUGUGAAAUCCCACGGCUCAACCGUGGAACUGCUGGGCAUACUGCGGGUCUUGGGCCAUCCAGGGGCGAGCGGAACAAGCGGUGGAGCGGUGAAAUGCGUAGAUAUCGCUUGGAACGCCAAGGGUGAAAACAGCUCGCUGGGGAUGCGCCGACGCUGAGACGCGAAAGCCAGGGGAGCGAACGGG